CCUACGGGAGGCAGCAGUGGGGAAUAUUGGACAAUGGGGGGAACCCUGAUCCAGCGACGCCGCGUGAGUGAAGAAGUAUUUCGGUAUGUAAAGCUCUAUCAGCAGGGAAGAAAGGAAUGCCGGUACCUGACUAAGAAGCCCCGGCUAACUACGGGCCAGCAGACGCGGUAAUACGUAGGGGGCAAGCGUUAUCCGGCUUUACUGGGUGUAAAGGGAGCGUAGACGGUUACGAAAGGCUGGAGUGAAAUGCGGGGGACCAACCCACGGACUGCCUUGGAAACUGUAUAACUGGAGUGCAGGAGAGGUAAGUGGAAUUCCUAGUGUAGCGGUGAAAUGCGUAGAUAGUAGGAGGAACACCAGUGGCGAAGGCGGCUUACUGGACUGUAACUGACGUUGAGGCUCGAAAGCGUGGGGAGCAAACAGGAUUAGAUACCCGUGUAGUC
rnacentral:rRNA from 1 species